AUCUUCCGCAAUGGACGAACGUCUGACGGAGCAACUCCGCGUUAGUGAUGAAGGUUUUCGUAUCGUAAAACUCUUUUGUUAGCGAAGAACAAGUAUCGUUCGAAUAUGGCGGUACCUUCACGGUACCUUAACAGACAGCUACGGCUAACGACGUGCCAGCAGCCGCGGUAAUACGUAGGUGGCAAAUGUUAUCCGGAAUUAUUGGGCGUAAUGGGCGCACAAGCGGUUUCUUAAGUCUGAUGUGAAAGCCCACGGCUCAACCGUGGAGGGUCAUUGGAAACUGGGAAGCUUGAGUGCAGAAGAGGAGAGUGGAAUUCCAUGUGUAGCGGUGAAAUGCGUAGAGAUAUGGAGGAACACCAGUGGCGAAGGCGACUCUCUGGUCUGCAACUGACGCUGAGGCGCGAAAGCGUGGGGAGCGAACA
rnacentral:rRNA from 1 species